GCUCAGCAACUUAAAGGAAGUUGACGGGGCCCGGCACAAGCGGUGGAGUAUGUGGUUUAAUUCGAUGCAACGCGAAGAACCUUACCUGGUCUUGACAUCCCGGAGACCCUUAGGAAACUAGGGGUGCUUCCAUCUGGAAGAAUCUGGAGACAGGUGCUGCAUGGCUGUCGUCAGCUCGUGUCGUGAGAUGUUGGGUUAAGUCCCGCAACGAGCGCAACCCUUGCCUUUAGUUGCCAGCAGUUCGGCUGGGCACUCUAAAGGGACUGCCGGUGUUAAACCGGAGGAAGGUGGGGAUGACGUCAAGUCCUCAUGGCCUUUAUGACCAGGGCUACACACGUACUACAAUGGCCGAUACAAAGGGCAGCGACACUGCGAGGUGAAGCCAAUCCCGUAAAAUCGGUCUCAGUCCGGAUUGGAGUCUGCAACUCGACUCCAUGAAGUUGGAAUCGCUAGUAAUCGUGGAUCAGAAUGUCACGGUGAAUACGUUCCCGGGCCUU
rnacentral:rRNA from 1 species